GGGCACAUGGUGUAGUUGGUUAUCACGCCCGCUUAGCAUCCUCAUUUCUCUCCUUCGAUCAAUGCGGGCGGUGCCCGGUUCAAUUCCGGGUGUGUCCA